rnacentral:rRNA from 1 species
CUAGCGACUUCACGAGUUUUGAUCCUGGCUCAGGAUGAACGCUAGCUACAGGCUUAACACAUGCAAGUCGAGGGGCAGCAUGAACAAAGCUUGCUUUGUUUUGAUGGCGACCGGCGCACGGGUGCGUAACACGUAUCCAAUCUGCCCGCGGCUCGGGGAUAGCCCAUCGAAAGAUGGAUUAAUACCCGAUGGCGUGGUCACUCCGCAUGGAGUUUCCACUAAAGGUUUUCCGGCCGCGGAUGAGGAUGCGUAUGAUUAGGUAGUAGGCGGGGUAACGGCCCACCUAGCCUUCGAUCAUUAGGGGUUCUGAGAGGAAGGUCCCCCACACUGGAACUGAGACACGGUCCAG